ACGUGAAAUCCUGUCUGAAGAUGGGGGGACCACCCUCCAAGCCUAAGUACUCCUCAGCGACCGAUAGCGAACCAGUACCGUGAGGGAAAGGUGAAAAGAACCCCGACAAGGGGAGUGAAAGAGUCCCUGAAACCGGAUGCUUACAAACAGUAGGAGCCCAAGGUUCGUCCUGGGUGACUGCGUACCUUUUGUAUAAUGGGUCAGCGACUUAAAGUUACGAGCAAGCUUAAGCCGAUAGGUGUAGGCGCAGCGAAAGCGAGUCUGAACAGGG
rnacentral:rRNA from 1 species